rnacentral:rRNA from 1 species
GAUGAACGCUGGCGGCGUGCUUAACACAUGCAAGUCGAACGAAGCACUCAUGACAGAUUCUUCGGAUGAUGGAGUGAUUGACUGAGUGGCGGACGGGUGAGUAACGCGCGGGUAACCUGCCUCAGACAGGGGGAUAACAGUUAGAACUGACUGCUAAUACCGCAUAAGCGCACAGUAACGCAUGGUCAGGGAUGAAAAACUCCGGUGGUAUGAGUUGGACCCGAGUCUGAUUAGCUAGUAGGUGGGGUAACGGCCUACCAGUGCGACGAUCAGUAGCCGGCCUGAGAGGGUGAACGGCCACAUUGGGACUGAGACACGGCCCAAACUCCUACGGGAGGCAGCAGUGGGGAAUAUUGCACAAUGGGGGAAACCCUGAUGCAGCGACGCCGCGUGAGCGAUGAAGUAUUUCGGUAUGUAAAGCUCUAUCAGCAGGGAAGAAAAUGACGGUACCUGACUAAGAAGCACCGGCUAAAUACGUGCCAGCCGCCGCAGUAACAC